UUGACCUCAAAUCAGGUGGGACUACCCGCUGAACUUAAGCAUAUCAAUAAGCGGAGGAAAAGAAACUAACAAGGAUUCCCUUAGUAACUGCGAGUGAAGUGGGAAGAGCUCAAAUUUGAAAUCUGGCAGUCUCUGGCUGUCCGAGUUGUAAUCUAGAGAAGUGUUGCCCGCGCUGGACCGUGUACAAGUCUCCUGGGAUGGAGCGUCAUAGAGGGUGAGAAUCCCGUCUCUGACAUGGACUACCAGGGCUUUUGUGGUGCGCUCUCAAAGAGUCGAGUUGUUUGGGAAUGCAGCUCAAAAUGGGUGGUAAAUUCCAUCUAAAGCUAAAUAUUGGCGAGAGACCGAUAGUGAACAAGUACCGUGAGGGAAAGAUGAAAAGAACUUUGGAAAGAGAGUUAAACAGUACGUG
rnacentral:rRNA from 1 species